rnacentral:rRNA from 1 species
GAUCCUGGCUUAGGAUGAACGCUAGCGGCAGGCUUAACACAUGCAAGUCGAGGGGCAUCGGGAGUAGCAAUACUUGCCGGCGACCGGCGCAAGGGUGCGUAACGCGUGAGCAACAUGCCCGUAUCAGGGGGAUAAUCCAUGGAAACGUGGUCUAAUACCCCAUAGUAAUUAUGUAAGGCAUCUUAUAUAAUUUAAAGCUUUGGUGGAUACGGAUUGGCUCGCGUGACAUUAGCUAGAUGGUAAGGUAACGGCUUACCAUGGCUACGAUGUCUAGGGGUUCUGAGAGGAAGGCCCCCACACUGGAACUGAGACACGGUCCAGACUCCUACGGGAGGCAGCAGUGAGGAAUAUUGGACAAUGGAUGGAAAUCUGAUCCAGCCAUGCCGCGUGCAGGAAGACGGCCCUAUGGGUUGUAAACUGCUUUUGUAUGGGAGCAAUAAGGGCUACGCGUAGUCCGAUGAGAGUACCAUACGAAUAAGCACCGGCUAACUCCGUGCCAGCCGCCGC